rnacentral:rRNA from 1 species
AGAGUUUGAUCCUGGCUCAGGAUGAACGCUGGCGGCGUGCUUAACACAUGCAAGUCGAACGAACCUUCGGGUUAGUGGCGGACGGGUGAGUAACGCGUGAGAAUCUGCCCUCAGGAGGGGGAUAACGGCUGGAAACGGCCGCUAAUACCCCAUAUGCCGAGAGGUGAAACGAGUUUUCGCCUGAGGAUGAGCUCGCGUCUGAUUAGCUAGUUGGUGGGGUAAGAGCCUACCAAGGCAUCGAUCAGUAGCUGGUCUGAGAGGAUGAUCAGCCACACUGGGACUGAGACACGGCCCAGACUCCUACGGGAGGCAGCAGUGGGGAAUUUUCCGCAAUGGGCGAAAGCCUGACGGAGCAACGCCGCGUGAGGGAUGAAGGCCUCUGGGCUGUAAACCUCUUUUAUCAAGGAAGAAGAUCUGACGGUACUUGAUGAAUAAGCCACGGCUAAUUCCGUGCCAGCAGCCGCGGUAAUACGGGAGUGGCAAGCGUUAUCCGGAAUUAUUGGGCGUAAAGCGUCCGCAGGCGGCCUGAUAAGUCUGUUGUCAAAGCGUGGAGCUUAACUCCAUUUCGGCAAUGGAAACUGUGAGGCUUGAGUGUGGUAGGGGCAGAGGGAAUCCCCGGUGUAGCGGUGAAAUGCGUAGAUAUCGGGAAACACCAGUGGCGAAGGCGCUCUGCUGGGCCAUAACUGACGCUCAUGGACGAAAGCCAGGGGAGCGAAAGGGAUUAGAUACCCCUGUAGUCCUGGCCGUAAACGAUGAACACUAGGUGUCGGGGGAAUCGACCCCCUCGGUGUCGUAGCCAACGCGUUAAGUGUUCCGCCUGGGGAGUACGCACGCAAGUGUGAAACUCAAGGGAAUUGACGGGGGCCCGCACAAGCGGUGGAGUAUGUGGUUUAAUUCUAUGCAACGCGAAGAACCUUACCAGGGUUUGACAUCCUGCGAAUCCCUUGGAAACUUGGGAGUGCCUUCGGGAGCGCAGAGACAGGUGGUGCAUGGCUGUCGUCAGCUCGUGUCGUGAGAUGUUGGGUUAAGUCCCGCAACGAGCGCAACCCACGUCUUUAGUUGCCAGCAUUCAGUUGGGCACUCUAGAGAGACCGCCGGUGAUAAACCGGAGGAAGGUGUGGAUGACGUCAAGUCAUCAUGCCCCUUACAUCCUGGGCUACACACGUACUACAAUGCUACGGACAAAGGGCAGCAAACUCGCGAGAGCUAGCAAAUCCCAUAAACCGUGGCUCAGUUCAGAUCGUAGGCUGCAACUCGCCUACGUGAAGGAGGAAUCGCUAGUAAUCGCAGGUCAGCAUACUGCGGUGAAUACGUUCCCGGGCCUUGUACACACCGCCCGUCACACCAUGGAAGUUGGCCACGCCCGAAGCCGUUAUUCCAACCCUUGUGGAGGAGGACGUCGAAGGUGGGGCUGAUGACUGGGGUGAAGUCGUAACAAGGUA